UACGUAGGGUGCAAGCGUUGUCCGGAAUCAUUGGGCGUAAAGCGCGCGUAGGUGGCUUCGUAAGUCCGUUGUGAAAGUCAAGGGCUCAACCCUUGAAAGCCGGUUGAUACUGUCGGGCUAGAGUCCGGAAGAGGCGAGUGGAAUUCCCGGUGUAGCGGUGAAAUGCGCAGAUAUCGGGAGGAACACCAAUGGCGAAGGCAGCUCGCUGGGACGGUACUGACGCUGAGACGCGAAAGCGUGGGGAGCAAACAGG
rnacentral:rRNA from 1 species